UCCUUUGCCCAGCACACCUGUCACUCACCUCAACCCUUUCUGUCUUUUCCCCAUCUUUCUGUGGCUAGCUCCUCCUCAUUCUUUAGGUCUCAGUGUAGAUAGCACCACUAUCAGGAAGGAGUCCAGACACUGCCAGGCCUAAGAAAUGUAAACUAAAUGCUCUCAAGGGAUGAGAGACACUGGAAGCUGGGAGGCUCUUGGAACUCUGUUGCCAUCAUCAAGGUCAGCAGUCCAACUACCAGGGCCAGAGCCCCAACAAAGAAUCUUCAGUGCCAGCCAGAAAGAAUGAUGAACUCCUCGUGUAAAGGGAGUUUGGGGCAACCAGUCAAACCAUGGCCUCAUGAGAAGCAGCUGACUAGGGAAUGAGAGAGGAAUACAAAAGACAAGGCACUGCGAAGCCAAGUCUGGUUGGGGAGAAGAAACCAAUAUGCCUGAAACAGGGAACCAGAAAGGACUCAGACAAAACUGCUGACAAGUAUGGGGUUUCUUGGGGUAGGUGGUGAAAAUAUUCCAAAAUAAGAUUAUAGCGAUGUUUUCAUAA